ACAAAGCUUCCCUAUAAGAUCAUUCAACAUUAAUAAGACAAUAACAAUGGUACUAACCUUUGUAACAACAAAAAACAACUUAUUCCAAUUUACAUUGAUCUACUACAAUAGCGGAUUCCAAAGACUAAUCUACCUACUAUAAGAGUGUAAAUUCCAAUGAUUAAUCCACUACAACAUCUUGAUGUACCAAAUGUGAUGAUUUCAAUGAUUGAUCCACUACAACGUCUUGAUCUAUCAGAAGUACGGAUUCUAGUGAUCGAUCCACUACUACAUCCAUAGAGUACUCAAACGACUGUUACACAACAUCCUUUCUUUAGAAACCUAAAAACAAAACUACACAAUAUAUAUAAUAGGGUUACCAUCAUUAAUUAGAGACAUAAGUCAUAAGAUGAUAAGUAUAGCACUUAUCCUUGUAACACUCUCAAAUUUCCCUCCACGUAGAUACUAUAAUAAUACGUAUACAAAUAACAUAGAGAUAGACUUGGACAUAUUACCGUUAUGUGAAAUUGUAAAGCUUUACACAACUUGGCAUCGUAAAAUAACUGACUUUUAUUAAUAAUUAUAAUAACCAUAAUAAAUUGUUUGAAAAUAUUAUAAAUAAAAAAAAUAAAUAAAAAACUUGUAUAUGACUCAUGGAAUAAUAAAUUCCUAACAAUGUGAGCACAAUCCCAACUGAAGCAUGCUUACAAUUAACUCCACUUUUGAAAUCAAAUCAUCUUACCAAUAAUGGAAAACAAGACGAACCAAAACAAAGAGGAAAAUGGAUUAGCAAAAAAGAUAAGUACAUAUAAGUGCAAGGUAUGUACAUACUACAAAAUUUUCAUAGGAAAACAUGCUUUAAGAAUAGUUACUUUAAUUUAAAAAUGCCAAUACAUGACUUUCUCGAAAUUCAUCACUUCCCAAAAUUAGACUUUCCAAAAUUAAAUCUUCCAAACAUAGUAAUGUUCAUCAGUAGAAACAUUGCAAACCACUAGAUUUCCAAAUUUAUAAAAUUUCCAAUUUUAAACAAACUUCCAAAAUCAAUUUUCCUUACCUAACACCCCCCAUUAACCAACAAAAAACCCCAACCCCACCUAACUCGCAGCCACCAAAACUUACCCACAAGGAGGAGCGACGACUACGGGAGGUAGUAUAAUGACGAGAAGGGCGGCCAAUGAACUCAGCGGGCUGGUGGUGAGAGAAGAGAGAGAAAAGUGUUGUUGGUGGUUGAGAGGGAGGAGAAAGAAAAGUUGGUGGUGAUGGUGGUGGAUGUGGGCUGUGAGGGAGGAGAGAGAAUAUGGGUUUGGGGUUUAAUUAUGGACUGAUUAAUUUAGGUUAUUAAGUUAAUAGGUGGUUUAUUUAAGUUAAGUAAGGGUAUGUUGGUAAAUUCACACAAAAAAAUUUACUAUAUUAGGAAAGUUUUAUUUUUGUACAUAAUGUAUAGUUUCCGUUUUAGAAAAUUGUUGCAGAUUUUAUGAAACGGAGGUAGUAUAUAAAAAAAACGGAAAAAAAAUCCAAAAACAAGAAAAAGAUGUUAAAUGACAUCACUUUGUAUAAACUAUAAAAUGAAAUAAAUAUUAAGUCCAAAAAGAGGGUAAAAAAAUAGUAUCCUAAACCCUUUAAAAAGUGGAAAGUGCUACUGUAGCUUAUCUACAGUGCUCUGCCCAAACUGCCCCUUGCCACGAAAUUAAGUUGUUGUGUGAGCUGUUGGCCUAAUGUCUACCCAUGUCCUUUCUUUCUCCUACCUACCUUUCAUUUUUUUCCUGUUAUUUUCUCUUUUGCUCUGAAUUCCCGUCAUCUCUAUUUCACUCUCCUUCUCCCCAUCAAUUUUCCAGGGUUUACCCAUUCUUCAACUUAUUGAAAAUUCAAUCGGAAAAGCAUCAACAUCUCUAGAUCUUAUUUCAUCCCAACUCCGACCAAAACGUAGCGGCGGAGGCUGCUGUUGAUUUGGAUGGGGGCAUAGAAGAAGUCAUUCAGAAGAAAAUGUUUCAAUUGAGGCGAGAUUUGACUACAAAUUAAUGGGAAAAGCUAAAAAAAACCCCAAAUUUGGUGUCUGGAAGAAGCUCUUCACUACCAAAAUAGGCACAAGAAAGACGGGAGAUGGGUUGUCUUAUAUAAGGAAAAUUUUAUUGUGAGGAGUUAUGAAGUAGGGAUAAUAAGACUACUACUGGUGAAAGUUUGAAACCAUUGCUAAUCUUUUACAGAUCACGAGCUAUCAAUUUGAUUACUUGGUUCAAGAGUUGUUGGGAAUCGGCACAUUGAAUUGGCACUCUGUACUAAAAUGUUGGCUGAAAGAGUGUAUUUGAAAGCCCUAAGGGUGCUACAUUGCCAAUAAUAGAACAAUUGCUUUAGUGUAUACUGGGGUUUAUCUAAGUAACUGAUGAUAGGGAGGUAGUAUAUAUAAAAGUAACAAGCUGGUGCAUUCAUUGAAGGGAGAUUAUUGGAAGUUUGCGCAAGUUUGCAAUGGUAUUCAAUUUGUGACCUCAUGGGUAACACAACCUGCACUGAAGCAAACUUAACUGCUAAACAACUUUAUGUAGUCGCAGUUAUUAUUGGUUCUCGAAUAAGUCUUUGCUUGUGGUAAUCUAAUUGGUUGACUAUCUGUUUGUCUUGUUAUAUAUACAAAAUAGAAAAAUAGCUUACAGUUUUAAUUAAUGUGAGCAAUGAGCGUAGAGGCCAUGUGUUACUUAAAAGUUAGGGAAUAUAGUAGAGCAAAAAAAGAAAGGAAGUGAUGACCACAAUUUUUCUGUGUAAAAUUUUUAUUUUGCUUUUAUUUCAAAAUAGCAAAUGUUGGUUUAAACUUGAAAACAAAUGCAAAACUCCCAGGUAAGUCUUUGAUUUAUUGAA